rnacentral:rRNA from 1 species
GACGAACGCUGGCGGCGUGCCUAAUACAUGCAAGUAGAACGCUGAAGCGAGGAGCUUGCUCUUCUUGGAUGAGUUGCGAACGGGUGAGUAACGCGUAGGUAACCUGCCUGGUAGCGGGGGAUAACUAUUGGAAACGAUAGCUAAUACCGCAUAAAAUGGAUUAUCGCAUGAUAAUCCAUUGAAAGGUGCAAAUGCAUCACUACCAGAUGGACCUGCGUUGUAUUAGCUAGUUGGUGGGGUAACGGCUCACCAAGGCGACGAUACAUAGCCGACCUGAGAGGGUGAUCGGCCACACUGGGACUGAGACACGGCCCAGACUCCUACGGGAGGCAGCAGUAGGGAAUCUUCGGCAAUGGACGGAAGUCUGACCGAGCAACGCCGCGUGAGUGAAGAAGGUUGUCGGAUCGUAAAGCUCUGUUGUAAGAGAAGAACGAGUGUGAGAGUGGAAAGUUCACACUGUGACGGUAUCUUACCAGAAAGGGACGGCUAACUACGUG